rnacentral:rRNA from 1 species
AGAGUUUGAUCAUGGCUCAGGACGAACGCUGGCGGCGUGCCUAAUGCAUGCAAGUCGCACGCGCGGAGCGCAAGCUCCGUGAGUGGCGCACGGCUGAGGACCACGUGGGAACAUGCCCUGCAGUGGGGGACAACAGCGCGAAAGCGCUGCUAAUCCCGCAUACGCUCGCAAGAGGAAAGCGUGGCAACACGCGCUGCAGGAGUGGCCCGCGGCCCAUCAGGUCGUCGGUGGGGUAACGGCCUACCGAGCCGAUGACGGGUAGCUGGUCUGUGAGGACAGACAGCCAGACUGGGACUGAGACACGGCCCAGACUCCUACGGGAGGCAGCAGCAAGGAAUUUUCGUCAAUGGGCGCAAGCCUGAACGAGCAACGCCGCGUGGAGGAUGACGGCCUUCGGGUUGUAAACCGCUUUUGUCAGGGAAGAAAUCUUUCGGGCUAAUACCCUGGAGGGAUGACGGUACCUGAAGAAUAAGCACCGGCUAACUACGUGCCAGCCGCCGCGGUAAUAC